UCGAGUGGCGAACGGGUGAGUAACACGUGGGUGAUCUGCCCUGCACUUUGGGAUAAGCCUGGGAAACUGGGUCUAAUACCGAAUAUGACCGCGCUCUUCAUGGGGUGUGGUGGAAAGCUUUUGCGGUGUGGGAUGGGCCCGCGGCCUAUCAGCUUGUUGGUGGGGUAAUGGCCUACCAAGGCGACGACGGGUAGCCGGCCUGAGAGGGUGACCGGCCACACUGGGACUGAGAUACGGCCCAGACUCCUACGGGAGGCAGCAGUGGGGAAUAUUGCACAAUGGGCGCAAGCCUGAUGCAGCGACGCCGCGUGAGGGAUGACGGCCUUCGGGUUGUAAACCUCUUUCAAUAGGGACGAAGCGCAAGUGACGGUACCUAUAGAAGAAGCACCGGCCAACUACGUGCCAGCAGCCGCGGUAAUACGUAGGGUGCGAGCGUUGUCCGGAAUUACUGGGCGUAAAGAGCUCGUAGGUGGUUUGUCGCGUUGUUCGUGAAAACUCACAACUCAAUUGUGGGCGUGCGGGCGAUACGGGCAGACUAGAGUACUGCAGGGGAGACUGGAAUUCCUGGUGUAGCGGUGGAAUGCGCAGAUAUCAGGAGGAACACCGGUGGCGAA
rnacentral:rRNA from 1 species